CAUUGUUUAUGUUUAAUACUAGGACGGUAGCUAACGGACAUCGAACAACUAUCUUUCGUUCUUGAUGAAAGAAGACAUCUUUGGCAAAUG
rnacentral:rRNA from 1 species